rnacentral:rRNA from 1 species
UAAAGUGGCGACCGGGUGAGUAACACGUGACUAACCUACCCUCGAGUGUGGAAUAACAUCGGGAAACCGAUGCUAAUACCGCAUAAUAUCGCAAGAUCAAAGCAGCAAUGCGCUUGAGGAGGGGGUCGCGGCUGAUUAGCUAGUUGGCGGGGUAACGGCCCACCAAGGCGAAGAUCGGUAGCCGGCCUGAGAGGGCGCACGGCCACACUGGAACUGAAACACGGUCCAG